rnacentral:rRNA from 1 species
GAGUUUGAUCCUGGCUCAGAUUGAACGCUGGCGGCAUGCCUUACACAUGCAAGUCGAACGGCAGCACGGGAGCUUGCUCCUGGUGGCGAGUGGCGAACGGGUGAGUAAUGCAUCGGAACGUAUCCUGGAGUGGGGGAUAACGCAGCGAAAGUUACGCUAAUACCGCAUAUUCUGUGAGCAGGAAAGCGGGGGACCUUCGGGCCUCGCGCUCUUGGAGCGGCCGAUGUCGGAUUAGUUAGUUGGUGAGGUAAAGGCUCACCAAGGCGACGAUCCGUAGCAGGUCUGAGAGGAUGAUCUGCCACACUGGAACUGAGACACGGUCCAGACUCCUACGGGAGGCAGCAGUGGGGAAUUUUGGACAAUGGGGGCAACCCUGAUCCAGCCAUGCCGCGUGAGUGAAGAAGGCC